UUGGCACAGAGACUGGACAGAGUUGCCAUCUAUGAGGAAUUCCUGUGGCUGACCCAGAAUGGUACCCAGCUGCAGAACUUGACCCUGGACAGGAAGAGUGUCCUUGGGGAUGAAUAUUCUCCCAACAGAGAUGACACCUUGACUGAGAAGCCUGGUAAACCUGCAGGAAGCCCCAGCCCACGGUAGGGGGCGAGUAUCUUGAUGCUGUGCCUCAUCGAAGAGAACCAUGCGCACAGGGUCUUGGAUGAUGAGGAAAGUUGGCCAACCCUUGUCAAGGAUGGUUGAGGCACAGUGGGGUCAGCAGGAGCCCUGGGGCAAUGACAGGAGGUGGCUCAUCCCAGCACUUGUCUCCGCAGACCACCCCGUCUGGGCUCUCAUCCUCAUCUGCUUGGCGGGAAUCCUGGUGCUCAUCACAGGCCUCAUCUGCUGUCUCCUGGAAAACAUUUUAACCCUGCUGUUCCCAUGAUGUCACAAGGACUAGAGUGUUGGGGAGGACUGAGAGCACACUCUUCCUCUGGAGUAUGUUAGACUCUAAGGGUCCAUGACACAGGAGUGGGGAACAUUUCAUUCAUCGAGGAUUGAGCCUCUCGUGCUGGGUGUUGAAAGAAACACCAGUGACGUCCCCGUGUAUUCACGUGGAGUAUCUGACAGUCAGUCAUUGCAGGAUUACAGAAGGAAGGGCAGUUCAGAGGGGAGGCCCCGUGGAGGCAGGCAUGGAGGAGCGCGUGGUGACUGACACCGAGAGCUUGUGACCCGGACAGGUGGCAGACUCUG